UUUUUUUUUUUUUUUUGACAGGCAGAGUCGACAGUGAGAGAGAGAAAGGUCUUCCUUUGCCAUUGGUUCACCCUCCAAUGGCCGCCAUGGCCAGCGCGCUGCGGCCGGCACAUCGCGCUGAUCUGAAGCCAGGAGCCAGGUGCUUCUCCUGGUCUCCCAUGGGGUGCAGGGCCCAAGCAUUUGGGCCAUCCUCCACUGCACUCCCUGGCCACAGCAGGGAGCAGGCCUGGAAGAGGGGCAACCAGGACAGAAUCCGGUGCCCCGACCGGGACUAGAACCCGGUGUGCCGGCGCCGCAAGGCAGAGGAUUAGCCUAGUGAGCCAGUGAGCUGCGGCGCCGGCCUAAAAUAGUCUUUUAAAAAACUGAUUCACAUGAAUUUUUUUUUAAGAUUUAUUUAUUUAUUUGCAAGAGAUAGAGAGAGAGAGAGAGAGAGAGAGGUCAUCUAUCUGAUGGUUUACUCCCCAGUUGACUGCAAUGGCCAGAGCUGCGCUGAUCCGGAGUCAGGAGCCAGGAGCGUCUUCCAGGUCUCCCACAUGGGUGCAGGGGCCCAAGGACUUGGGCCAUUUUCUUUCCCAGGCCACAGCAGAGCUGGAUUGGAAGUGGAGCAGCCGGGUCUUGAACCGGUGCCCAUAUGGGAUGCUGGCACUUCAGGCCAGGGCAUUAAUCUGCUGUGCCACAGCGCUGGCCCCCAGGAAUUUUAAAAAAAAUAUUGUUUUAAUGGCAGAGUUAGAGAAUCUUGCAUUUGUUGGUUCACUCCCCAAAUAGCCACAAUGGCUCAGGUUGGGCGGGGCUGAAACCAGGAGCCUGGUACUUCUUCCAGGUCUCUUGGGUGGGUGCAGGGGCCCAAAAUUUGGGCUAUCUUCUGCUGCUUUCCUAGACACAUUAGCAAGGAGCUGGAUCAGAUGUAGAAUAGCUGAGUUUCAAACAGGCACCUAUAUGGGAUCCUAGAGUCACAGGUGGAGGCUUAACCUACUAAGUCACAAUGCUAUCCCCUUUGUAAUAGUCUUUUAAAAAUAUAUUUAUUUGAGAGACAAUCAGAAAGAGAUCCUAUGUGCUGGUUCAUUUCCAAAAUGGUUGCAGUGGCCUGGACUGGGCUAGGCUGAAGCCAGGAGCCAUUAACUCAAUCCAUUUUUCCCACAUGGGUGGUAGGGACCCAACUAUGUUAGCUAUCACCUGCUACCUUCUAGCAUGUGCAUUAGCAUGAAGCCAGAAUUAGGAGUGGAACUGUGAAUCCAACCCAGGCUGUCUGAUAUGGGAUGUUGGCAUCUUAAUCAGUAGCACCAAUGUGCAUUCCAUAAUUUUUAAUAUGUUGUGGCCACAAGCUAUUUGAUGGUUAAGUUUUGCAAAUACAUAUAAUUCUUUUUGCUUAUAUUUUCACCUUUUUAGUUCUGUCCUUUGUUUCUGCCUUGAAGGUUCAUCUAUUUGAAAGGAAGAGCUACAGAGAGAAAGACCUUCGAUCUUCUGGACCACUCCCCAAAUGGCCGCAAUAGCCAAGAAGGGAAGUAGUUCUGCACAGCUGAGCGGAAUUGAAGGUAGUCAGCUUCCGAUCUCUGGCUCCUGUGGGUAUAACAAUGGCCUGCUCUUUCCCAAGGACCACACAGGUAAUCUGUUCUGCCCUCAGUGUGGGCUGAAAUUCUUCGGCAGUCUCUCACUGGGUUGUCAAGGUUACCGAAUUGUAGUGUCUCUGGAGAGUACUCACGUGAACUCUGUGAGUUCUCUCACCCACUGUCUCUUUUUUCACAGUCUCAGUUCAUUAGCUCCACACAUUCACUAGGUCCUAAUCUCCUGUUAUUUCACCCCCCCAGAGUCAGAUUUUUCUGCUUGGCUGAGGGCGGGCACAGCCCUGAGGUCGCGCAGCUUUUACUUAUGUCCAAAAUGGUGCCUGCUCUUUGUCUUGCUUGCCUUUGAGAGGUGAGUGGAGAGAAAGAAACUCGUGUCCCUACUGGUCCCUUUUUUUUUUUCUUUUUUUUCCCUCUCUCCUCUAGUUAGCCUGGUGAACUUUCCCCCAUGGGGCUUCAAGCCUCAUUCCCUCUAGGCUCCUCCUUCUGCUUUCCCACUGGUGUCUCGGGCUAUUGAGGUUCAGCUCACCUCUUGUUCCAGCGCUGGUGCGUUGAUUCCGCCGCUGGUGUCCUGAGCCAUGGUUCUCAUGCCCUCCAUGCAGGUCCACCGUGAAUCACUAGUUCUGGAAGAGUUUCCUCUGCUAUUUCUUCCUCAACUCUUCCUUGAACCUGCAGUAUCUCUACUUUUAUUAAACUGUCUCUUCCCAGACUAUCAGUGUGCUCCCUUCCUAUUCCGCCAUCUUGCCGCUUCUCUUUAUUUUGGUUAUCAGUAGUUUUACAGUGAUGUUCCUAGCUCAUAGUAUGAUUUUCUUUUUGUUAUUUUACUGCUUGGUGUUUACAGAGCUUCUUGAAUUUCUAGGUUGAUGUGUUUAAUUAAUUUUGGACAUUUCUUAGACAUCUUUUCUUCAAGUAUUAUUUCUGUCCCAUUUUCUUCCUCUCUUCUCUGAGACUCCAAUAAACUGGGUGUUAGAACUACUGUGUUUCUUAUAUCUCCUGUUCUCUCUCUGUGUCUUCUAUCCUUUAUCCUUUGUGCUCCAAACCAUCUACGUUUGUACUGAUACGUUUUGCAAUUUAUUUAUCUUUUCUGCUAAACCUAUAUAUUGGGUUCUUAAUUUCAGUUCAUACAUUUUUCAAGUUUAGAAAUACCCAUUCAUUUUUAAAAAAUUUUUCUGAUUCAUUGGGGGAAUUUAUCUUUUGUUUUCUCCCUGUUUUUCUUGGACCAAUGACUCAGUUACUUGAAACUUCUUAUCUGAUGACCCUAUGAUUUAGAUUUCCUGUGGUUCUCUAUCUUUUCCUCGCUUGAUUUUUUUGGUCACUUAGUUCACUCUGUUGGUAUGCUUCCUAACUUUCUGAAUGCUGAACAUUGCAUACAACAAAUUGUAGAGGCUCUGGAUGGUGAUAACCUCCUGUGAAAAGGGCUUCCCUUUCCUCUGCUAGGCAGAGUGGAGAUGGAUCACCUUCAUGUUGUCAGAGUCUGAGCUGACUUUCUAAGGCUGAGCUGCAGUAUUUCUGAGACUCUACCUUCAUCUAUUCUUUUCCCUCAUAUAGGAUGUAUCCUCCAGCAGUUUUCUAAUUGAGCGCCUGUAGUGUUCCAUGGAUCUGUUCUUACUGGCAGUUCCUCAACUCUGAUUCUUAUAUCCUCAGCACCUAGACCUUGCCUAAAAAAAAAAUCCCUUUUUUCAAUAAUUUUGAAUUUUUGAAUCUAGGCAGAAAAAUUCUUAGUUUCCCAUUCCAUACAGCUUUAGGAUUCAGAAAAUGUCUUACUAGGUAUAUUGACUCAUUUCUCUACCCCUCCUAUUCAGCAUUCUGAAAACCACAAUCUAAUUUUGUUUUUCACUGCACUUAGUUUGCCAUUUAUCUGGUUCCUCAUUCUUAUCCCAUGCCUAAAAUCAGUAAAUGGUUUAAGGAUAAAAAUGGCUGCAGAUUCUUGGCUCAUACUCAUAAGAUUCAGCCUUCCUUAGGAUCUUUUUUUUUUUUUUUUUUAAGAUUGAUUUAUUUAUUUGAAAGUAAGAAUUACACUGAGAAGGAGAGGGAGAGAGAGCCAGAGAGAGGUCUUCCAUUUACUGGUUCCCUCCCCAGUUGGCCUCAAUGGCUGGAGCUACGCCGAUCUGAAGCCAGGAGCCAGGAGCUUCUUCCAGAUCUGCCAUGUGGGUGUAGGGGCCCAAGGAGUUGGGCCAUCUUCCACUGCUUUCCCAGGCCACAGCAGAGAGCUGGAUUGGAAGUGGAGCCGCUGGGACUUGAACUGGUGCCCAUAUGGGAUGCCAGCACUGCAGGUGGCUGCUUUACCUGCUACGUCACAGUGUAGGCCCCUUUUCUUAGGAUCUUGAUGCCAAAUCCCUUUCUGUUUCAGCAAUUCAGUGAUGCCUUCAAACAGAUUUUAUCCAGUUUUCACGGCUUUUUUUCCUUUUGACGCGAAAGUUGGUCUACCAUAAGCCUCUCCAUUUUUGUUUAAAAAAAUUUUAUUUAUUUAUUUAUUUGAAAGUCAGAGUUAGAGAGAGGCAGAGACAGAGAGAGACAGGUCUUCUGUUCACUGGUUCACUCCCCAAGUGGCCGCAACAGCCAGGGCUGAAACAGGCAGAAGCCAGGAGCUUCCUCCAGGUCUCUCAUGUGGGACGAAGAGGCCCAAGCAAUCGAACCAUCUUCUGCUGUUUUUCCCAGGCCAUUAGCAGGAACUAGAUCAAAAGUGGAGCAGCUGGGACACAAACAGACAUCCAUACGAGAUGCUGGCAUUGCAUACAAUGGCUUUAUCCACUACACAACACUGGCCUCUAUUUGACUUUUAAACAAUUUCUUCAUGCAGAAUAAAAUAUAGACACAGAAAAUCUGAUCUCAAAUAUCUUCCUUUGUUAGCUACUAUAACAAGAUGUUUUACAUUGAUCUUGAAGAUUUCCUGCAUUAAGCAUGGAGUCAGUCACUAAGGAACUCUGUUACAUUUUGAUGUCUGUCUGUCUUGUGUGAUUCUGGAAAGCACAGGAUAGUAUCUGCCUUUGGCACAGGGGACUGCUUAGCUUGGCGUUCACAUGUUCAUUAUGAGCAGCAAAGCUGUUGAGCAUUUCAGUGUGCAUUUGAUAGUGUGACAGUGAUGUUACAGUUAGUUACUUCAUCAUACAAACACUCUUCAGAAUAGGUAAUCAAGAAGCUGCAGGUCAGAGAAAGCAAAUGUACCCAAAGUCAUAUGCCCUGUCCAAUAAAAUUCAAAACAGGCUACCAUACAAAGUACCACAGACCAGGUGGCUUAAACAACAGAGAUUCGUUUUCUCACAGUUCCAGAGCCUGGAAGUCCAAGAGCAAGGUUAUCAGCAGAUUCUUGUGAGAUUUCUCUUUUUGGCUGGCAGACUGUUACCACUUUGUGUCCUAAUCUCUUGUGCGGACAGCAGUUACAUUGAAUUAAGGCCCCACCAUGUGAUGUCAAUUUUAUCUUAUAUCUUUAAGGUCCUUUUCUAAAUACAAUCACAUGUUUAGUUAGGACUUAAAAAUGAAUUUUGGGGAGACCACAGCAUUAUACUUGUGUUAGAUCUGAAAUACUGUUGGGAAUGAAAGAAGAAAAAAACAAGGAGGGUGGGCAUUUGGCACAGCAAUUAAAUCUCCCCUUGAGGUGUCUGCAUCAUAUAUUGGAGUGCCUGGUUCGAGUCCCUGAUCCUCUCCUUCCCAUCCAGUUUCCUGCUGAUGCACACUCUGGAAGGCAUCAGUUGAUGGCUCAAGUAUUUGGGUGCCUGCCAUUCACAUGGGAGCACUGGGCUCUGUGCUUCGGUCUGGCUCAGCCUUGGCCACUGUAAGCAUUUAAGGAGUGAACUGGUGGAUGGAAGAUCUCUGUCUCUCUCUCUCUGCAUUUCAAAAAACAAUGAAAUUUUUGGGAAAAAAAGAAAGAUAUAUUUUCUUAUUCUUUGUAUAACAGAUAUGGUCCAUCAUGAACAACUACAUCAGGUUAUUAAGUAUGUUUAAAUAAGAAUAACAUCAACAUAAAAAGAAACUGACUUUAAUGAAAUUAGAAAAAAGGGACAUGAUGUUAUGUUUUGAAAUAACUGGAAAAAGGCAAUACUGACAUAAAACAUUUUUAAAGAUUUAUUUUUCUUUGAAAGGCAAAGCUAUACAGAGGGGAAGACAGAUCUUCAAUUUGCUGGUUCACUUUGGCUGCAACUGCUAGGGCUGGGCCAUACUAAAGUCAGGAGCCAGAGCUUUCUCCAGGCCUCCCAGGUGGGUGCAGGGGCCCAAGCACUUGGACCAUCUUCUGCUGCCUUCCCAGGAGCAUUAGCAGGGAGCUAGAUCAGAAGUGGAACAGCCAGGACUCAAACUGGUGCCCAUAGGGGGUGCUGUCAUCACAGGCAGCUGCCCUACCCUACCCACUACACUACAACACUGGCUACCAUAAAAUAUCUUUGAGACGAUAAAUAUAAUGAAACACAUAUAGUAGGUGUAUAUAUAUAUAUAGGUGUAUACAGGUAUAGAUGUAGGAUGUAAAAGUUAUUUUCCUUGUCAAAAUGAUUAUGCCAAAUAAGUUCAUAAUCUUAACAUGCAAAAAAUGCUUUUUCCAUGAAUUCAAAUAUAAUAUUUUUAGUAUUGUACAAAGAUACCUUUUUGUGAGUACAGUGAGCAGAUGGAAUGUUACACUGUUCUAAAAACUACAUUUAAAAUACACGAAUCCUGCCGGCGCCAUGGCUCAAUAGGCUAAUCCUCCGCCUAGCGGUGCCGGCACACCGGGUUCUAGUCCGGGUUGCUCCUCUUCCAGGCCAGCUCUCUGCUAUGGCCCAGGAGUGCAGUGGAGGAUGGCCCAAGUGCUUGGGCCCUGCACCCCAUGGGAGACCAGGAGAAGCAACUGGCUCCUGCCUUUGGAUCAGCGCGGUGCGCCUGCUGCAGUGUGCCAGCUGCGGCGGCCAUUGGAGGGUGAACCAACGGCAAAGGAAGACCUUUCUCUCUGUCUCUCUCUCUCACUGUCCACUCUGCCUGUUAAAAAAAAAAAAAAAAAAAACUCAGAGGCAUCAAAAUUAAAUACAAUACACUUUAAUACAAAAUUAAAUACAAGGCAUUUUAAUACAAUAUGAAAUCAAAUACAAGGCACUUCACACAAAUUGCAGAUGUUUGUAAAAUAUUAAAAAAACCACAUCAAAUGACAAAAUUUAGAAUCCUGAAACAGAAAACAUCUUAGUGCAGAUUAUAAUUUCUCUGCAACUUCUGUGUUGUAAUAUUGUGAACUAAGAAAAAGUUAAUAAAGGUAUAUAACUUUUAAAAAAUGACCAUAUACAAAGUUGCAUGACUAAUAAAGACCUAUCCCUUUGCUUUUAACAAAUGAAAGUAACUCUGAAAAUGUUUGAUUAAUGUAAAACUUUAGCAAGAGAUAUUUAAAUAUACUUGAAAACAGAAAUAAGAAAUGCACAGAUCAU